AAUAGAUACCCCGGUAGUCCACGCCGUAAACGAUGAGUGCUAAGUGUUAGAGGGUUUCCGCCCUUUAGUGCUGCAGCUAACGCAUUAAGCACUCCGCCUGGGGAGUACGGCCGCAAGGCUGAAACUCAAAGGAAUUGACGGGGGCCCGCACAAGCGGUGGAGCAUGUGGUUUAAUUCGAAGCAACGCGAAGAACCUUACCAGGUCUUGACAUCCUCUGCUAACCCUAGAGAUAGGGCGUUCCCCUUCGGGGGACAGAGUGACAGGUGGUGCAUGGUUGUCGUCAGCUCGUGUCGUGAGAUGUUGGGUUAAGUCCCGCAACGAGCGCAACCCUUGAUCUUAGUUGCCAGCAUUCAGUUGGGCACUCUAAGGUGACUGCCGGUGACAAACCGGAGGAAGGUGGGGAUGACGUCAAAUCAUCAUGCCCCUUAUGACCUGGGCUACACACGUGCUACAAUGGAUGGUACAAAGAGCUGCGAACCCGCGAGGGUAAGCCAAUCUCAUAAAGCCAUUCUCAGUUCGGA
rnacentral:rRNA from 1 species